GAACAGUACGUCGACGAGCGCAGGUUCCAGGAUUUCGGGCCACCCAGUGCGCCCCCAAUCGCACAAGAUGGGGAUGAGCAUCGCAUUUUCGACGCAGUUGCAGACCCGAAAGGAGGCUUUGAGAGAGCUGGGAUGUCAUCGGUGGCAGAUAUACUGGCUCAAGAUGUUCAUGAGCCUCCUACCAGAUCAAACGUUCAGGAGGAUGGUGUUCAGAUGCCGUACAUUGAGAA